rnacentral:rRNA from 2 species
GGUUAAGCGACUAAGCGUACACGGUGGAUGCCCUGGCAGUCAGAGGCGAUGAAGGACGUGCUAAUCUGCGAAAAGCGUCGGUAAGGUGAUAUGAACCGUUAUAACCGGCGAUGUCCGAAUGGGGAAACCCAGUGCAAUUCGUUGCACUAUCGUUAACUGAAUACAUAGGUUAACGAGGCGAACCGGGGGAACUGAAACAUCUAAGUACCCCGAGGAAAAGAAAUCAACCGAGAUUCCCCCAGUAGCGGCGAGCGAACGGGGAGCAGCCCAGAGUCUGAAUCAGCUUGUGUGUUAGUGGAACGGUCUGGAAAGUCCGACGGUACAGGGUGAUAGUCCCGUACACCAAAAUGCACAGGCUGUGAACUCGAAGAGUAGGGCGGGACACGUGGUAUCCUGUCUGAAUAUGGGGGGACCAUCCUCCAAGGCUAAAUACUCCUGACUGACCGAUAGUGAACCAGUACCGUGAGGGAAAGGCGAAAAGAACCCCGGCGAGGGGAGUGAAAAAGAACCUGAAACCGUGUACGUACAAGCAGUGGGAGCACCUUCGGGUGUGACUGCGUACCUUUUGUAUAAUGGGUCAGCGACUUAUAUUCUGUAGCAAGGUUAACCGUAUAGGGGAGCCGCAGGGAAACCGAGUCUUAACUGGGCGUUAAGUUGCAGGGUAUAGACCCGAAACCCGGUGAUCUAGCCAUGGGCAGGUUGAAGGUUGGGUAACACUAACUGGAGGACCGAACCGACUAAUGUUGAAAAAUUAGCGGAUGACUUGUGGCUGGGGGUGAAAGGCCAAUCAAACCGGGAGAUAGCUGGUUCUCCCCGAAAGCUAUUUAGGUAGCGCCUCGUGAACUCAUCUUCGGGGGUAGAGCACUGUUUCGGCUAGGGGGUCAUCCCGACUUACCAACCCGAUGCAAACUACGAAUACCGAAGAAUGUUAUCACGGGAGACACACGGCGGGUGCUAACGUCCGUCGUGAAGAGGGAAACAACCCAGACCGCCAGCUAAGGUCCCAAAGUCAUGGUUAAGUGGGAAACGAUGUGGGAAGGCACAGACAGCCAGGAUGUUGGCUUAGAAGCAGCCAUCAUUUAAAGAAAGCGUAAUAGCUCACUGGUCGAGUCGGCCUGCGCGGAAGAUGUAACGGGGCUAAACCAUGCACCGAAGCUGCGGCAGCGACACUAUGUGUUGUUGGGUAGGGGAGCGUUCUGUAAGCCUGCGAAGGUGACCUGUGAGGGUUGCUGGAGGUAUCAGAAGUGCGAAUGCUGACAUAAGUAACGAUAAAGCGGGUGAAAAGCCCGCUCGCCGGAAGACCAAGGGUUCCUGUCCAACGUUAAUCGGGGCAGGGUGAGUCGACCCCUAAGGCGAGGCCGAAAGGCGUAGUCGAUGGGAAACAGGUUAAUAUUCCUGUACUUGGUGUUACUGCGAAGGGGGGACGGAGAAGGCUAUGUUAGCCGGGCGACGGUUGUCCCGGUUUAAGCAUGUAGGCUGGUUAUCCAGGCAAAUCCGGAUAAUCAAGGCUGAGGUGUGAUGACGAGGCACUACGGUGCUGAAGUAACAAAUGCCCUGCUUCCAGGAAAAGCCUCUAAGCAUCAGGUAACAUCAAAUCGUACCCCAAACCGACACAGGUGGUCAGGUAGAGAAUACCAAGGCGCUUGAGAGAACUCGGGUGAAGGAACUAGGCAAAAUGGUGCCGUAACUUCGGGAGAAGGCACGCUGGUGUGUAGGUGAAGUCCCUGCGGAUGGAGCUGAGACCAGUCGAAGAUACCAGCUGGCUGCAACUGUUUAUUAAAAACACAGCACUGUGCAAACACGAAAGUGGACGUAUACGGUGUGACGCCUGCCCGGUGCCGGAAGGUUAAUUGAUGGGGUUAUCCGUAAGGAGAAGCUCUUGAUCGAAGCCCCGGUAAACGGCGGCCGUAACUAUAACGGUCCUAAGGUAGCGAAAUUCCUUGUCGGGUAAGUUCCGACCUGCACGAAUGGCGUAAUGAUGGCCAGGCUGUCUCCACCCGAGACUCAGUGAAAUUGAACUCGCUGUGAAGAUGCAGUGUACCCGCGGCAAGACGGAAAGACCCCGUGAACCUUUACUAUAGCUUGACACUGAACAUUGAGCCUUGAUGUGUAGGAUAGGUGGGAGGCUUUGAAGCGUGGACGCCAGUCUGCGUGGAGCCAACCUUGAAAUACCACCCUUUAAUGUUUGAUGUUCUAACGUUGGCCCCUGACCGGGGUUGCGGACAGUGUCUGGUGGGUAGUUUGACUGGGGCGGUCUCCUCCCAAAGCGUAACGGAGGAGCACGAAGGUUAGCUAAUCCUGGUCGGACAUCAGGAGGUUAGUGCAAUGGCAUAAGCUAGCUUGACUGCGAGCGUGACGGCGCGAGCAGGUGCGAAAGCAGGUCAUAGUGAUCCGGUGGUUCUGAAUGGAAGGGCCAUCGCUCAACGGAUAAAAGGUACUCCGGGGAUAACAGGCUGAUACCGCCCAAGAGUUCAUAUCGACGGCGGUGUUUGGCACCUCGAUGUCGGCUCAUCACAUCCUGGGGCUGAAGUAGGUCCCAAGGGUAUGGCUGUUCGCCAUUUAAAGUGGUACGCGAGCUGGGUUUAGAACGUCGUGAGACAGUUCGGUCCCUAUCUGCCGUGGGCGCUGGAGAAUUGAGGGGGGCUGCUCCUAGUACGAGAGGACCGGAGUGGACGCAUCACUGGUGUUCGGGUUGUCAUGCCAAUGGCACUGCCCGGUAGCUAAAUGCGGAAGAGAUAAGUGCUGAAAGCAUCUAAGCACGAAACUUGCCCCGAGAUGAGUUCUCCCUGAGACUUUAAGUCUCCUGAAGGAACGUUAAAGACGAUGACGUUGAUAGGCCGGGUGUGUAAGCGCAGCGAUGCGUUGAGCUAACCGGUACUAAUGAACCGUGAGGCUUAACCUU